rnacentral:rRNA from 1 species
GACGAAGGAUGCAAGCGUUAUCCGGAUUCAUUGGGUUUAAAGGGCGCGUAGGCGGCCUUGUAAGUCAGUGGUGAAAUCUCUGGGCUUAACCCAGAAAUUGCCAUUGAUACUGCAGGGCUUGAGUACAGUUGCCGUUGGCGGAAUAUGACAUGUAGUGGUGAAAUACAUAGAGAUGUCAUAGAACACCGAUUGCGAAGGCAGCUAACGAAACUGUAACUGACGCUGAGGCUCGAAAGUGUGGGGAUCAAACAGG